CCUUUUCAAAGGCUUAGCUCUUUUGUAUUUUAAAGUUUUUCUAUACCUUGUUAUCUUGAUUUGACUUUGAUUUUUGACUUCGAACUGCUGCCUUUUAGGAGGAAGAAGUUUGUAGCAUUCUGACCUACAAUUUUGUAUCACUAAAUGGUUAACCCAUGAUGAGAAGCUGGGUUCAACUUUGUAUAGUUUAUGAGUUUUCUCAUAGGUUAUAUACUGCGUGACAAGUAAAUCCGGCUCUAAGUUCAUGUGCUUUGGCAGCACCUAUUGUACUUUAUUUUUCUAAAAAAACAAAGGAAAUUUUACAUUUAUUACUUACGCAACUUAUGAUAUGUAGGUUAUAAUACAUUUGUCAACGAAGAUUAAUGACGAAUCAUGAAUGUAGGAUUAGCAUUUAGGUAAUACAUUAUUACUUGCACCAUUUCUUAUGCUUUGAAGUGGCCUAAAUUUAACUUGUGUGCCUAAAAGAGGAUGGGUAGACCAUAGGUAAUCUUGGCUAACACCUUUAAUCCUUGUUAGAUGGUAUUGAUUAUUGGAAACAGUGCUUAAUGAAAUCGUUUAGUUUGUGGAACCUAUCAUUCCGAUGACACUUGCAUUAUCAACUGUUUAGUAAUCUAUACUUUUUAGCUCCUUAGUGGAGCUGAACGGGAAGGUUUGAGGGUCGUGCUAGUUGCAUUAGUAGAUGCUAUUAUGUUUAACUGAGUACGUAGUGAAGAGAGAACAAGCAAAUUUGGGAAAGUCUGUACAUGCAAGUAUCAGUUUGACAAGUAAAUUUCCAUAUUCUCUAAAAAUUCUGAAAGCAUAAUUGCCUUACCCAUGAUGUCUGUGUUGAUGAAGAUUACUGCACUAUAAUCAAGUUGACUUUGCUUUCCGUAGUUGGUGCAAUGGUGCUUACGUUGUUACAGCCGUACAUGUAUAGUAGUAGAUUGCAACAUUUUUUGGAAUUUGCUUUCUGUAUGCAAAAAGUAUCAUCAUUUUAGUUUGACAAGUUCUCAUUAAAUUUAUUAUCACUGCUUUAUCUUAUUUAAUCUGGAAAUGUACAAUGUAGGAAGCUUUGAAGUGGGUAACAGAUCAGCCGGCUUGGAAUCGUUCCGGAGGAAGAGAUCACAUACUUCCAGUUCACCAUCCUUGGUCUUUCAAGUCUGUUCGGAAAUAUAUGAAAAAUGCUAUUUGGUUGCUACCGGAUAUGGACUCCACUGGGAACUGGUUAGUAUCCAGAUCAACUGUAAACACCUGCUCGUUAUAAUGGUAUGUUUCGAGCACAUUGAUAAUUCCACUUAAUGUGUCAGGUACAAGCCUGGACAAGUUUCGCUUGAAAAGGACCUCAUACUUCCUUACGUUGCAAAUCUCGAUCUAUGUGAUGCCAAAUGUUUAUCAGAAAGUGAAUUGAAGAGAAGAACACUCCUAUUCUUUCGUGGGAGGCUUAAAAGGAAUGCUGUAAGAUGUUAUGCUAGUAUAUGAAGUGAUUCGUCUUUAUAACAAUUUGGUUAGUUUAUGUUUUUUAAUUAGACAAUGUGUUUAGAUAUCUAAAUUUGGAGGAUGGCUACAUAUUGAGCUAUAUUACAAAUGUCUCUGAGGUUUCUUCUAUUCUUCGUAUAUUAGUCAAAAUAUUCUUGUAUUAGGUGCAAGGACUUGAGUUACAUGCUACAAGAGUGGACAUCUUCUGAGCCUGCUAUUAGUUUGUGCAAGACAUGGUUAUGAGACUGUAUGAUUCAUCCGGCCUUCAUGAACAGUUCUUCUGUAGCGUCACUAACAUAAAUGACAAUGUUUAUUUUNUAACUAAAAGAAAAGCGUCAAAAAAAGAGAGAGAGCUGUCUACUUUCAAGUUUCAACACUCCAGCUGAAACUAACUCCGUCGCUUCUUCAUCAAAAAUGGCGGGUGGGAGAUCGUACGGAAACCCUAGAUUCAGAUCCCCAAUCAUCAUCACCCUCCUCUUCAUCAUCUCUCUCCUCAUCUACAUAUCUCUCUCUCCAUCUCGCCCAAAUCUCCCCUCAACUAAAUCACAAGUCCCAAUGCUCAACCCUACCGUCGAUUACUCCUUCCUCACCUCCCUCCAGAAAUUCCUCUCCUCUCCCUCCGAAUCUCGCCAAUAUCGAGACGAUUCAGUUGCGAAUACGGCGAGUCAGGCUGAUGUGAAGAAACUAGAUGACUUGAUGUGGAGAAGAGAGACUGAAAAGCUCUACGAAGAUUCGGCUUAUCCUGGUGUUUCAGUUGUUAGAGUUUAUGUUUACGAAAUGCCGGAUAAGUUUACUUAUGAUAUGCUGAGAUUGUUCUGGAAUACGUAUCAGGAGACUGUUAAUCUUACAUCCAAUGGUAGCCCCGUUCAUCGACUUAUCGAACAGGUUUUUUAAACUAAUGCAUGAUUUUUUACGCGUUCUUAUGUUAUCUAGUACCUUAAUUAGUCCACAUUGUGUGUAUUUGUAUUAGUUUUCAGUUGACGCGCUUAAUUGAUCUACAUUGUGUUUGAUUGAUCUACAGUGUGUGUAUGCUAUAUAGGUAGAUUAUAAGUCAGGUUCCUCUUGUUUUGGUCUCUGAUUGGAUAACAUGACCUUGUUAUUCUGAUGCAGCACUCGAUUGACUAUUGGCUGUGGGCAGAUUUGAUUGCGCCUGAAUCACAAAGGCUUUUGAAGAAUGUUGUUAGAGUUUACCGGCAGGAGGAUGCUGAUCUGUUUUACAUUCCUUUCUUCACAACAAUAAGUUUCUUCUUGUUGGAGAAACAGCAAUGCAAGGCGCUUUAUAGGGUGUGAGUGCCUUUUCAAAGGCUUAGCUCUUUUGUAUUUUAAAGUUUUUCUAUACCUUGUUAUCUUGAUUUGACUUUGAUUUUUGACUUCGAACUGCUGCCUUUUAGGAGGAAGAAGUUUGUAGCAUUCUGACCUACAAUUUUGUAUCACUAAAUGGUUAACCCAUGAUGAGAAGCUGGGUUCAACUUUGUAUAGUUUAUGAGUUUUCUCAUAGGUUAUAUACUGCGUGACAAGUAAAUCCGGC
rnacentral:lncRNA from 1 species